AUAAUAGAAGUUUAUUUGCAAGUUCAUGCCUGAGGGCUAAUUGCAAGUACAUGGUAUAAACAUAGGAUAUAUGUAUAUACAAGUGACAAUGAACAGAUAAACAAUACUCUACUCUAAUUAAUACUAGUGUUGACUUCUUUUUUGGAAACAGGGAGACGAAAAGCCCUUUUCUACAGUUUCUGGGUUCUGUGAUUUCAAGAGAUUGAAUAAUCAACAACUACUGUCAAUUAUCCAUUUAGUGUGAAUGACCUUUGUUGUCUGCUGUGUUCCACUUUGCAUACAAAAAGCACAACAGUUAGAAAUCUUUCUGUGCAAUCUUUUUGUGUAUUCUAACAAUUACCAUGUUAAAAAGAUGAAGGUUUGGCUCUUAGAUUCAGGCUUUUGUUUCUAUUUCAAUCGUCAGGCUUUCCUUUUGUCUGCCUGAGCCAAACACCAUACACUUUUAAGGGUUAAAAAGAAUACUUGACAAGAUAGAAUUAGAAAGCCACAUAGAACACAUUAAAAAAUAAUUCAAAACAGGUUCAAGCUUAAACACAUAACACUUAAAAAAUUAAUUCAAAAGUUUGAGCCUAAGCUAUGUAAGGACUAAAGGAGAGUUAUAAGCAUCAUCAGAUGCUAAUCUAAAAACGGUUUUGUUGGUUUUGGUAAGCCCGGGAUUGAUUUGUGAGUAUAAUUCUCCAACCCAUGGCCAGGUUCUAGCUAAUACUACUAGUAGCUUGUUCUAACCUGUCAGAGGUGGACCCCUAGUUCUGCCUCGGUAUUAGAUCAAUAGAAAGAAAGUUUAUUUGCAAGUUCAUGCCUGUAGGCUAAUUGCAAGUACAUGGUAUAAACAAGAUAGGGAAUACGCAUAUGAAACAACCAGAGGGGCGAGGUGUUGUCAUGGUCAGUUUGGCAGCGCUUGAACCCCACUGUUACACAGUAACAAUGAACUGUGAUAAAUAUUAAUUUCAUUCAAAGAGACAACUCAAAUACUAUACAUGUAUCUAGAUAGGUUGGGUAACUUCUUUUUUGGAGGCAAAGAAAGACAAAGAGUCCCGCUUUUUCUAUAAUUUGUGCUCAGAGCUGUUGGUGUGCACAUGGUCAGUUUGGCAGCGCUUGAACCCCACUAAUAUUCAGAUUUGCGAAUAAUUGUCAUCAUGUCAACACAAAAGCAGCUUGAAUUUGUCUUACCAAGGAGGUUAAAGAAUCACUCUUUCUUUAACCUCCUUGGUCUUACAUCCGGGUACAUGGGGUCAUAGUUGGCAGCGUCAUGUGUGAAAGUGGAAGUUUUUUACUUUCAAUGUAUGGCUUCCAUGAACUUUACCCACAAAACUGUCUGGAUUUCACCUUUGUGAUAGUGAAACAAAAUUGAAUCAUGAUAUAAGUAUUAAACCGUUGUAGAUUCUAUUCUGACUGAUGAUCUGUUCUCAAAUCUUGAACUUUUUCUUUAAAUUGCACUUCAUAUUUCAAUCCUGGAUUACUGUUGAAAUACUUGAUAUGCUUUUGUUUACACUAUACUUCAAACUAUAGCCUUUGGUUCAAGGGUGGGAACAUUAGCUCCAUUUAUGAGAUAUUCACCAUUUGAGAAUUGAAGUUGAGACUCAAAGGAUUACACUGCUGUCUGUGACUCCACGGGUGAGCCUUGCGUCAUCCAAGUCUGGCUGCAAAAAUGCCUGUUUGUACUACCAGAAAGUAUGCAAAUAGCUAUGCCCACGAAUAACAAUUGGGAGCCAAGAGUCAUAAAAGACAAUGGUUCUUUUACCAGGUGUCAUUGUUGGUCAGGCGUAUUCAGUAUUCAAAUUCCUGUUGCACACUUGACAAAACACCUUGACAGAACUAGGAAAAAAACUGGGAUACAAGAAAAAAAAAAAGUAGUGUUUUCUCUGUGAAAAAACAAACAAACUAAAUACCUGAUGGAUAUUUUUCUGGCUCACACUGUCACAGUUUUAUUCAUCAUCAGGUACCUUUUCAUUAGCAAAAAAAUAAUUGUCAAAGCGCGCAAAGCCUGGAUGCACAGCCUCAAAUGUCUAACCAAGGAGGUUGAAAAAAGGAAACCUCCUUGGUCUAACUCGUUCAUUAGUUUCACCUGAUAGCCUUCUGAGAAUAUCCGAUUCCUGUGGUAAACCCAUUCUGUUAUAUGUUUGUGAAAUUUGGGGUUCUGAGAAAUUAUGAUACAUCUCUGAUCGAAAUUACACACAACCAAUUCUGCAAAAACAUUUAGGCAUUCAUCCAAGUUGGAGUCUCUAGAAAUAGUAGUAAUUUAGCAUGUAGGUCCGAAUUAGGCAGAUUUUCCACUAGACAUAGAUAUUUCCGUUCGACUUGUAAAAUAUUGGCUAAUAAAAAGUAUGUAAUGUUUCACACAAAUCGAUUUUACUAAGCAUCCAUUUACAAGUAAACGCACUCUUGGAACAGCACAACUCUCUUGUAAAUGGCUGGAGAAGUUCAUUGUUGCAGCAUGUUAAAGAAAUACUUGAUUAUAGUGGAUAUUUUUAUCUCUGGUACUCAGACAACUCACUCUGUGACCCUGUAUAUGUAUGUUAUCUGAUAAGGAACAGAAUUACAGAUAUGUAUAUCCAGACGUUUCUACAUAAUAUAAGUAUAGAUAUAGAUUCCCCACACCCACAGACGAACAGAAAGCCACUUUUCUCUUGAAAUCGCAGAACCCACAAAUUGUAGAAAAUGUGGGGCUUUCCGUCUCCCUCUGCUUCCAAAAAAGAAGUCAAACCCAACCAGUUUAGAAAUAGCCAACACUAGUAUUAUAGUAGAAUAUUGUUUAUAACUGUUUAUUGUCACUUCUAUAUCUCCUAUAUUUACACCAUGCACUUGCAAUUAGCCCUCAAGCAUGAACUUGCAAAUAAACUUCUCUAUUCAUCAACCCAGAUUAGACAUAGGCUGAGUUCCUCACAAUUCAGCCCCCUGGUUGCAAAGAGAGAGUAGUUGGCCCACCAAAUAAAUAAUAAUAAACUGGCACCAGCCACCCUGCUGGGAGGCCAGUGGCAAUUUCGUUAUCUAAGAAGGUUACAAGGACAAUCCCUAAGUCUUGUGUGAUUAAAACAAAAUAAUAAAUAUCGGACCCGGUGUAGUUCCU